rnacentral:rRNA from 1 species
AUUAAAGAUUUAUCGGUGAAAGAUGAGCAUGCGUCCCAUUAGCUAGUUGGUAUGGUAACGGCAUACCAAGGCUACGAUGGGUAGGGGUCCUGAGAGGGAGAUCCCCCACACUGGUACUGAGACACGGACCAGACUCCUACGGGAGGCAGCAGUGAGGAAUAUUGGACAAUGGGCGCAAGCCUGAUCCAGCCAUGCCGCGUGCAGGAUGACGGUCCUAUGGAUUGUAAACUGCUUUUAUACAGGAAGAAACACCUCUACGUGUAGAGACUUGACGGUACUGUAAGAAUAAGGAUCGGCUAACUCCGUGCCAGCAGCCGCGGUAAUACGGAGGAUCCAAGCGUUAUCCGGAAUCAUUGGGUUUAAAGGGUCCGUAGGCGGUCAGAUAAGUCAGUGGUGAAAGCCCAUCGCUCAACGGUGGAACGGCCAUUGAUACUGUCUGACUUGAAUUAUUAGGAAGUAACUAGAAUAUGUAGUGUAGCGGUGAAAUGCUUAGAGAUUACAUGGAAUACCAAUUGCGAAGGCAGGUUACUACUAAUNNAUUGACGCUGAUGGACGAAAGCGUGGGUAGCGAACAGGAUUAGAUACCCUGGUAGUCCACGCCGUAAACGAUGGAUACUAGCUGUUGGGAGCAAUCUCAGUGGCUAAGCGAAAGUGAUAAGUAUCCCACCUGGGGAGUACGAACGCAAGUUUGAAACUCAAAGGAAUUGACGGGGGCCCGCACAAGCGGUGGAGCAUGUGGUUUAAUUCGAUGAUACGCGAGGAACCUUACCAAGGCUUAA